rnacentral:misc_RNA from 1 species
AAGGGUGCUCAGCUCUGUGUG